UACAGAGGGUGCGAGCGUUGUUCGGAAUUAUUGGGCGUAAAGGGCGCGUAGGCGGCGCCACAAGUCACUUGUGAAAACUCUGGGCUCAACUCAGAGCCUGCAAGCGAAACUGUGGUGCUGGAGUAUGGGAGAGGUGCGUGGAAUUCCCGGUGUAGCGGUGAAAUGCGUAGAUAUUGGGAGGAACACCAGUGGCGAAGGCGGCUCACUGGACCGGUUCUGACGCUGAGGCGCGAAAGCGUGGGGAGCAAACGGG
rnacentral:rRNA from 1 species